GACGAACGCUGGCGGCGUGCCUAAUACAUGCAAGUAGAACGCACAGUUUAUACCGUAGCUUGCUACACCAUAGACUGUGAGUUGCGAACGGGUGAGUAACGCGUAGGUAACCUGCCUGGUAGCGGGGGAUAACUAUUGGAAACGAUAGCUAAUACCGCAUAAUAUUAAUUAUUGCAUGAUAAUUAAUUGAAAGGUGCAAUUGCACCACUACCAGAUGGACCUGCGUUGUAUUAGCUAGUAGGUGAGGUAACGGCUCACCUAGGCGACGAUACAUAGCCGACCUGAGAGGGUGAUCGGCCACACUGGGACUGAGACACGGCCCAGACUCCUACGGGAGGCAGCAGUAGGGAAUCUUCGGCAAUGGACGAAAGUCUGAACGAGCAACGCCGCGUGAGUGAAGAAGGGUUUCGGAUCGUAAAGCUCUGUUGUAAGAGAAGAACGGGUGUGAGAGUGGAAAGUUCACACUGUGACGGUAUCUGACCAGAAAGGGACGGCUAACUACGUG
rnacentral:rRNA from 1 species